rnacentral:rRNA from 1 species
AUUGAACGCUGGCGGCAUGCUUUACACAUGCAAGUCGAACGGUAGCAGGCCGCAAGGUGCUGACGAGUGGCGAACGGGUGAGUAAUGCAUCGGAACGUGCCCAGUCGUGGGGGAUAACGCAGCGAAAGCUGCGCUAAUACCGCAUACGAUCUAUGGAUGAAAGCGGGGGACCGUAAGGCCUCGCGCGAUUGGAGCGGCCGAUGUCAGAUUAGGUAGUUGGUGGGGUAAAGGCUCACCAAGCCAACGAUCUGUAGCUGGUCUGAGAGGACGACCAGCCACACUGGGACUGAGACACGGCCCAGACUCCUACGGGAGGCAGCAGUGGGGAAUUUUGGACAAUGGGCGCAAGCCUGAUCCAGCAAUGCCGCGUGCAGGAAGAAGGCCUUCGGGUUGUAAACUGCUUUUGUACGGAACGAAACGGCUCUGGUUAAUACCUGGGGCUAAUGACGGUACCGUAAGAAUAAGCACCGGCCAACUACGUGCCAGCCGCCGCAGUAAGAC